rnacentral:rRNA from 1 species
UACGUAGGGUCCGAGCGUUGUCCGGAAUUACUGGGCGUAAAGAGCUCGUAGGUGGUUUGUCGCGUUGUUCGUGAAAACUCACAGCUCAACUGUGGGCGUGCGGGCGAUACGGGCAGACUGGAGUACUGCAGGGGAGACUGGAAUUCCUGGUGUAGCGGUGGAAUGCGCAGAUAUCAGGAGGAACACCGGUGGCGAAGGCGGGACUCUGGGCCGAUACUGACGCUGAGGAGCGAAAGCGUGGGGAGCGAACAGG